rnacentral:rRNA from 1 species
CCCUUAGAUGUUCUGGGCUGCACGCGCGCUACACUGAUGCAUGCAACGAGUUUUCGACCUUGCCUGAAAAGGUUGGGUAAUCUGUUUAACAUGUGUCGUGAUGGGGAUAGACCAUUGCAAUUAUUGAUCUUCAACGAGGAAUUCCUAGUAAGCGCGAGUCAUCAGCUCGUGCUGAUUAUGUCCCUGCCCUUUGUACACACCGCCCGUCGCUCCUACCGAUUGAAUGCUCAGGUGAGCCAUUCGGACUUUCAUCAUGCUGGUUUCCAGUUUUGAUGAAGGAAAGUCUUGUGAACCUUAUCACUUAGAGGAAGGAGAAGUCGUAACA